GGGCCCGCACAAGCGGCGGAGCAUGUGGAUUAAUUCGAUGCAACGCGAAGAACCUUACCUGGGUUUGACAUACACCAGACGUAUGUAGAGAUACAUAUUCCCUUGUGGUUGGUGUACAGGUGGUGCAUGGCUGUCGUCAGCUCGUGUCGUGAGAUGUUGGGUUAAGUCCCGCAACGAGCGCAACCCUUGUCCUGUAUUGCCAGCGGGUUAUGCCGGGGACUUGCAGGAGACUGCCGGGGUCAACUCGGAGGAAGGUGGGGACGACGUCAAGUCAUCAUGCCCCUUAUGUCCAGGGCUUCACACAUGCUACAAUGGCGCGUACAGAGGGCUGCGAUACCGCGAGGUGGAGCGAAUCCCUUAAAGCGCGUCUCAGUUCGGAUUGGGGUCUGCAACUCGACCCCAUGAAGUCGGAGUCGCUAGUAAUCGCAGAUCAGCAACGCUGCGGUGAAUACGUUCCCGGGCCUU
rnacentral:rRNA from 1 species